rnacentral:rRNA from 1 species
ACCGCAGAAGGUGAAAGUCCUGUAUAAGUAAAUCCUUACACAUAUAACUUUGCUCCCAAGUAACAUGGAACACGAGGAAUUCUGUGUGAAUCUGUGAGGACCAUAUCUCAUAAGGCUAAAUACUCUUACUAACCGAUAGCGCAUAGUACCGUGAGGGAAAGGUGAAAAGAACCCCUGGAGGGGAGUGAAAUAGAACCUGAAAUUGUGUGCUUACAAGCGGUCAGAGCCAGUGAUGGUGAUGGCGUGCCUUUUGGAGAAUGAUCCUGCGAGUUACGUUAAACGGCGAGGUUAAGUAUAACGGAGCCGAAGGGAAACCAAGUCUUAAUAGGGCGAUUUAGUCGUUUGGCGUAGACGCGAAACCUGGUGAUCUAAACCUGUCCAGGAUGAAGCUGUGGUAAGACACAGUGGAGGUCCUAACCCACCGCCGUUGAAAAGUUGGGGGAUGAGGUAGGUUUAGGGGUGAAAAGCCAAUCGAACCAGGAGAUAGCUCGUUCUCUCCGAAAUGCAUCUAGGUGCAGCCUUGAGUGUUCAAUUAUGGGGGUAGAGCACUGAAUGAUCUAGGGGGCGUAUUGCUUACUGAAAUCAAUCAAACUCCGAAUACCAUAAUUUAGAGCUCAGGAGUGAGACUAUGGGAGUUAACUUCCAUUGUCGAAAGGGAAACAACCCAGACCACCAGCUAAGGUCCCUAAUUAUAACUAAGUGGGAAAGGAGGUGGAGAUUCACAAACAACUAGGAGGUUGGCUUAGAAGCAGCCAUACCUUUAAAGAGUGCGUAAUAGCUCACUAGUCGAGAGUCUCUGCGCCGACAAUGUAACGGGGCUAAGUUAUAAACCGAAGCUGUGGAAUCCUUAUGGAUUGGUAGGAGAGCGUUCUGUAGGCCGUUGAAGAAGAAGGGUAACCAACUUUGGAGGUAUCAGAAGUGAGAAUGCAGGAAUAAGUAGCGAGAAAGGGGGCGAGAAUCCCCCUCGCCGGAAGACCAAGGUUUUCAGGGUAAAGCUUGUCUUCCCUGAGUAAGCCGGGACCUAAGCCCAGGCUAUAAUGCGUAGGCGAAUGGAAAACAGAUUAAUAUUUCUGUGCCAGUCAUAUAUUGUGAUGGAGGGACGCAGAAGGGUAUGCGCGCGGACGAACGGAAGUGUCCGUAGAAGUAUGUAGGAUGACUUGAUAGGAAAAUCCAUUGAGUUAUAUCUGAGGUAUGAUAUACAGUCGUAAGAUGAAUGCGCAAAUCCCACGCUGCCAAGAAAAGCUUCUAACGUUAAUAUUUGACUGCCCGUACUGUAAACCGACACAGGUGGUCAGGAUGAGAAAUCUAAGGCGGACAGGCUAACUCUCGUUAAGGAACUCUGCAAAAUAACCUCGUAACUUCGGGAGAAGAGGAGCCCUUGAGGGUCAGUAUCCACGCGAUACAAAGCGCUCGAGGGUCGCAGUGAAGAGGCUCAAGCAACUGUUUAACAAAAACACAGGUCUAUGCUAAGCUGGAAGGCGAUGUAUAUGGGCUGACACCUGCCCAGUGCUGGAAGGUUAAGAGGAGGAGUGAGAGCUCCGAAUUGAAGCCCCAGUGAACGGCGGCCGUAACUAUAACGGUCCUAAGGUAGCGAAAUUCCUUGUCGGGUAAGUUCCGACCUGCACGAAUGGUGUAAUGAUUUGAGCGCUGUCUUGACGGGAGGCCUGGUGAAAUUGUAUUACCGGUGAAGAUACCGGUUACCUACAGUAGGACGGAAAGACCCCAUGGAGCUUUACUGUAGCUUGGUAUUGGGUUUUGGCAUUGCAUGUAUAGGAUAGUUGGGAGACUAUGAUGAUAUGGCGCUAGCUGUAUCGGAGUCAUCGGUGGAAUACCAACCAUUCAAUGCUGAAAUUCUAAUCUGUGGUUUGUAGCCACGGAGACAGUGCUAGGUGGGCAGUUUGACUGGGGCGGUCGCCUCCCAAAGAGUAACGGAGGCGUUCAAAGGUUCUCUCAGGUUGGAUGGAAAUCAACCAUAGAGUGCAAUGGCAUAAGAGAGCUUGACUGCAAGACUGACGGGUCGAGCAGAUGCGAAAGCAGGACAUAGUGAUCCGGCGAUUCCGAAUGGAAGGGUCGUCGCUCAACGGAUAAAAGCUACCCUGGGGAUAACAGGCUGAUCCUACCCGAGAGUC